AGACCUGGCCUUGGAUCAUAGGCAGCACAGCCCUAGAAGGAGAGUGACAAGGACCACAAACUACAAGGAUUUGUCCUCACUUAAUCAGUUUCUUGACUGUCUCAAGAUACGAUCCCCAUGGUACACAAUGACUUCAGCUGAAAUUGUACUACUAAUGAACAAGAAAGAAAAAUGCCUAGUGAUUUGGGACAAUCCGCGUGUGCAGCAGAACUAAUUGGAUGGGAUUAUUCAUGGAGUUGAUGGCAUCAUUACUACAGGAAGUUUAAAAAAGUUUGAUGGCACAGGAGGGCCUUCCCAGGACUCUAAAGGCCUAAAUGGAAUGCAUUAUCUGCACUGCGUAUGUCUACAUCUCCAGUUGUAUUAGGCCAUAUUCUAUAUCAUUGUACAUUGAAUCGCAAUAAUAACAGAUAUACUGUAUUUUAGAGGGGACAAUUGAAGCUGACUAUAUGAAUAGUGAUGCAGCAAAGGAGGUGGAAAUAACAGAAGUUUACUUUUCAGUGUUUUUAAGUUAAUGGUGUCCACAGAUCACAUCGAGCCACAAUGUCUUUCCAAUAGUUAUAAAAAUAAUACUGACUCAAAUUACAGAUGAAAAAGGUUAGUGUAAUCCCCCUGGUGUCCAGCUACUUGAAAUUCAUCUCCCAGUAAGAUUUUGGAGUUCACACCUAAAAAUCUCUCUAUGCAGAAUGCAUAUACAUAUUUUAUUUUCCAUACUGUUAACUUUAAUUGCUGUAGUCCAUUUUCUUUAACAAGCUCUACCUCUGGAAGCAAGCUAUCAUAAACUGUUAAUUCCAAACCCAUGAGCAUCCUUCUCUUGAGCAUUUACUACAGGCUCCAGUUUUGAAUUCUUUUAAAGUCAUACUAUGGUAUAGCCUAGCAGUGCUAAUUUUGAGCUGGAUAUUUGGCAAGAUAUUCCAGCACCUGGUUUUGAAAUACUGAAAUGGGAUUUUGAACACUGAACUGCUGAGAACACUCAGCACACUGAGAUUUGGCCUCUAGUACUAAUGCUGAUCUGGGGCUAUGUGCACCUAAUUAUGGCCAUAUAUUUACUGUGAUAAUAGAGUCUUCUGCCCUGGACACUUAGGUUCAGGUUUUCUGUGAUCAGAAAGCUGAACUGAGAAAUAGAAAAUCCAGGUUAAGAUCCAUGCUGCGACAGAUGGCUCUUGAAAAAAUGAAUUGAAAGUUGAAAGGCAAAAUUUUUUAAAGAUUAAUUGGUAAUCUCUGAAGAUUCCUCCUCUUUGAUUGGUGUUUUUCUUUCUAAACAUGCUUAAACCUCUGGUUUCCAAAUAUAAAUAAGGUACAUGGAAGAGCAUUCAUUGACAAUAGAGGCAGAAAACUUGUGCAAAAUCAGAAAUUUGAAAGUUUAGUUUUGAUACAGAGAGGGAUAGGGUCCACUAAUCCUACUAAAAGUCCCAAUAUUAUAUAUGAGCAUGCACAGAUCCUUGUAGAUUCUUUGCUGCAAUGUUUUUGGAUUAUCGAGUAGAAAAUCAUCUGUUGCAGACAUUAAUACUGUUGUGGUAUUCUGAUGGGGCUGAUAGGAAGAAUUUAUGUGGAAGCAGGGGACAUCUCAGCAUUUCUACAUAGAACCAUAAAAAUUGAUGGCAUUUUAUAUGUGAUACCAUCUGCUUUUUAUGGGUUUUGUCUUCUCUGGAUGUUUUUG